UACGAAGGGGGCUAGCGUUGCUCGGAAUCACUGGGCGUAAAGCGCACGUAGGCGGCUUCUUAAGUCAGGGGUGAAAUCCUGGAGCUCAACUCCAGAACUGCCUUUGAUACUGAGGAGCUUGAGUCCGGGAGAGGUGAGUGGAACUGCGAGUGUAGAGGUGAAAUUCGUAGAUAUUCGCAAGAACACCAGUGGCGAAGGCGGCUCACUGGCUCGAUACUGACGCUGAGGUGCGAAAGCGUGGGGAGCAAACAGG
rnacentral:rRNA from 1 species